rnacentral:rRNA from 1 species
CGCAUCUGUGCAUGCAGCAUAUCAAUAAGCGGAGGAAAAGAAACUAACAAGGAUUCCCCUCAGUAACGGCGAGUGAAGCGGGAAGAGCUCAAAUUUGAAAUCUUAAAGGGUUCCCUUUCACGAAUUGUAGUUUAAAGAAGUGUUUUCUGUUACGAUCGUAAUAUAAGUUCUUUGGAAUAGGACAUCACAGAGGGUGAGAAUCCCGUCUAUGAUUGCGAUUUGUAGCUUUGUGAUACACUUUCAAAGAGUCGGGUUGUUUGGGAAUGCAGCCCAAAACGGGAGGUAAAUUUCUUCUAGGGCUAAAUAUUGGCGAGAGACCGAUAGCGAACAAGUACCGUGAGGGAAAGAUGAAAAGAACUUUGAAAAGAGAGUUAAAUAGUACGUGAAAUUGUCAAAAGGGAAGCGUUUAACACCAGUGUUGUUUUCUGAAAAUCAACCUCUGUUAGCUUUAUGCAUGUUUGUUUAGACCUAAUCAGCUAUCUUGCAUGUUCUAUUGUUUGCAGUGGUGCACUUUUCAGUUUACAGGUCAACAUCAGUUUUUUUUACCGUAAAAAAGUUAAAGAAAGGUAGCUCAUGGCUCCGGUCGUGAGUGUUAUAGUCUUUUUCCUAUGCGGUAGGAGAGACUGAGGUCUGCAGUGUAGGCUAUUUGGCUAGAUACUCAGGUGCUAUGUGAUACCAUUUCAUAAACAACUUGUUGAUUAUGUUUUGUCUAUUGCAUACUCGCUUGUACUAUCAUACCUACGCUUAGGAUGUUGACGAUCAGCUGAGCGCG